CGUGCCAGUUUGAUCGGGAUACUCAUCAAUAAAAAAACGAAACCGGGAAGACUUCUCUUGUCAAUGGCGGGCCAUAUAAAUCCCAUUUGCGGACUAAGCUGCAUAGCCGGUGGAUUACAAAGACGGAGAUCUCUCAAAUCUUAUAGAUACGGAGUUUCAUCACAUCACUGGGCGUCC
rnacentral:sRNA from 1 species